GACGAACGCUGGCGGCGUGCUUAACACAUGCAAGUCGAGCGGUAAGGCCCUUUCGGGGUACGACGAGCGGCGAACGGGUGAGUAACACGUGGGUGACCUGCCCUCAGCUCUGGGAUAAGCCUGGGAAACCGGGUCUAAUACCGGAUAUGACUCCAUGACGCAUGUUGUGGGGUGGAAAGCCUUGUGCGGCUGAGGAUGGGCCCGCGGCCUAUCAGCUUGUUGGU
rnacentral:rRNA from 1 species